ensembl:lncRNA
CAGAGAUCAACGCAAGAUUGUUUUCUACACAUUGGUAGAAAUGUUUAAUAAUAGGCAAAUGUUGGUUAAAAAAAAAAUACUAUAGUAUUUGUGUUAGUAUGGGGUUAUGCUGUCACUUCCGGGUGAAGAUGUGCUGCAUUCUCUUAAUGAACAACUCGUGAAAUCUGAUUUUAUAUUGCUGCAUUAUGGUCCUGUGUUUGUUAAAUGUUGAUCUAAAUAAUAUCGAUAUGGUGACAAAAGCAAGCGUUUAUAUGUAAGCAGAUGAGUUUAUCGUUAAUAUAUACAAUUAUAUGACGUGUGUCACGGCUGAGCCGCGAAAAUUAACGAGAACGGCUGUUCUACCAGACGUGAUAUAGCAAUAUAUUUGGUUGCCAAGUGGCUACAAAAUCAGAACUAAAUAGUUAAGUUUUAUCCUGAAUUUGUAUCAUUGCAGCAUGUAUAGUUCUAACACAAUUUGAAUCUAACGUGAAGAACGAUGACAUGUAACCAAUGACAAAGUUAAGAGGCGUGACUUGCUGGAGAAGCCCCGGCUGCGAUGUGAAGACAGUAAUUAAACCCCGCAGCAUCCGCAAAAGAAAGCUGGUGUUUCAAGCGUGGAGUAUAUCGUUUCUGAUGUAAGUACAAGUUAUUUUAUUUGAAGUAAUUUAUUUGAAUUGUGAUGCAACUUUUUAAGAAUUUUUACAAUUGCGCAAUCCAUUCAUUUUUAGCUGUCUUUCAUAUUGCCUGUUUAAAUCUCCGGUUUAGGUUGAGCGGAUUUGAACACCGACCGUGUUUGGUAAACACAUUUUUGGACCUCCAAAUCUUGGUAAGUAGACUUUUGACAUUAUUGUUAAUCAGCUUUAAUUACCUGUAUACGCUUGUUAAUCCUAUUUGUAUUUAGUUCAAGUGACCGGCAUCUGCAUCAGUUGGACUGGGUGGUCAGACUGUGAUCUUACACAACCUGAGCAGAUACUUUGUAUUGAGGACAGCCGGGUGAUGAGACAAAGUACAUUACCACAAUGGGGUCAGUUACGGACACCCGUCCUUGUGGUUGCACAGAGUGAGGGGGUUUUUGUUUUCUUUCAGGCUUGAAAGCUGAAGGUAAUACAGCCAACUCUUCAAAACUGCUGUAUGUAAAUGUAUGUUUGAGUUAGAAUAUUCGAAUCUGAAAAGUGGAUUGUUAUUUACACGUUAAACCAGAGAAAUGGCGAAAGAUAAUGCUAACGACAGUCCAGACACGGAACAGCCAACAACCUCUACAAAUAAUCAAUCGACCAUACCCCAAAAAAACAAAUGAACCAACCGCUACUUUGUUACACAGCGAUGCGCACAAUAAUCCUCAGAUACAAGGCGUGUUAACCGAGCUUAGUAGCCCCCAUUUUUCACACGAUCUAGUUGACACUCCUUCGAGCUCUCUGAUGCAAACUCAAUGCAGUGCUGGCGAUGUUAGAGUUAUACAGCGUAAUGCGUUUGACAAUGUUGAAUUACGACAGUUUAUAAAUUUACAAAAUACUGGUGAAGUUGGUGAUUUUGGCACAUUCUACACAAGUAUUAUGGCAGGCUUGGAUACUUUGAUUGUUAGAGCCUCAGACUUUGUACAAGGGCCCGGUGAUCGUCUGCAGAUUGAGUUGAUUGGUGAAUCUCUGAUAGAUCCCGUACAUGUGACCAUGAGAGCGGAUGAAUAUAAUGAACGCACGUUUGGUAAUUUACUUGAAAGUGUUAUGCAGAGUAAUACGGAGCUUAUGAUUGAUGAAUCACUAGAACUGGU